UACGAAGGGGGCUAGCGUUGCUCGGAAUCACUGGGCGUAAAGCGCACGUAGGCGGAUCUUUAAGUCAGGGGUGAAAUCCUGGAGCUCAACUCCAGAACUGCCUUUGAUACUGAGGAUCUUGAGUACUGUAGAGGUGAGUGGAACUGCGAGUGUAGAGGUGAAAUUCGUAGAGAUUCGCAAGAACACCAGUGGCGAAGGCGGCUCACUGGCCCGUUACUGACGCUGAGGUGCGAAAGCGUGGGGAGCAAACGGG
rnacentral:rRNA from 1 species